rnacentral:rRNA from 1 species
UUCCUACGGGGCGCAGCAGUGGGGAAUCUUCCGCAAUGGGCGAGAGCCUGACGGAGCGACGCCGCGUGCGGGAUGGAGGCCUUCGGGUUGUAAACCGCUUUUGUUCAAGGGCAAGGCACGGUCUUUGGCCGUGUUGAGUGGAUUGUUCGAAUAAGCACCGGCUAACUACGUGCCAGCAGCCGCGGUAAUACGUAGGGUGCAAGCGUUAUCCGGAUUUAUUGGGCGUAAAGGGCUCGUAGGCGGUUCGUCGCGUCCGGUGUGAAAGUCCAUCGCUUAACGGUGGAUCCGCGCCGGGUACGGGCGGG